ensembl:snRNA RNU6-656P RNA, U6 small nuclear 656, pseudogene
AUGCUCACUUCGGCAGCACAUAUGCUAAAACUGGAAACAUACAGAGAAGAUUAGCAUGGCCCCUGAGCAAGGAUGACACGCAAAUUCGUGAAGUGCUCCAUAUUUUC